UUAUCGGAAUGAGAACAAUUCAAAUCCUUUAACGAGGAUCUAGCGGAGGGCAAGUCUGGUGCCAGCAGCCGCGGUAAUUCCAGCUCCGCAGGUGUAUAUCUAUGCUGCUGCGGUUAAAAAGCUCGUAGUUGGAUCUGCGUGCUCGGAACUGGUUGGCUCACUGAGUUCAAACUGGUCUCCGGCGCUUUAUUGGCUGGUUUUCCCUUGAUGCUCUUAACCGGGUGUCUUGGGUGGCUAGCACGUUUACUUUGAAAAAAAUUAGAGUGCUCAAUACAGGCGUAAAGCCUUGAAUAGUGGUGCAUGGAAUAAUAGAAUAGGACCUCGGCUCUAUUUUGUUGGUUUUCGGAACGCGAGGUAAUGAUUAAGAGGGACAGACGGGGGCAUUCGUAUUGCGACGUUAGAGGUGAAAUUCUUGGAUCGUCGCAAGACGGACGACUGCGAAAGCAUUUGCCAAGGAUGUUUUCAUUAAUCAAGAACGAAAGUUAGAGGUUCGAAGGCGAUCAGAUACCGCCCUAGUUCUAACCGUAAACGAUGCCAACUAGCGAUUCGCAGGCGUUAAACAACGACCUUGCGGGCAGCUUCCCGGAAACGAAAGUGUUCGGGUUCCGGGGGAAGUAUGGUUGCAAAGCUGAAACUUAAAGGAAUUGACGGAAGGGCACCACCAGGAGUGGAGCCUGCGGCUUAAUUUGACCCAACACGGGAAAACUCACCCGGCCCGGACACCGUAAGGAUUGACAGAUUGAGAGCUCUUUCUUGAUUCGGUGGGUGGUGGUGCAUGGCCGUUCUUAGUUGGUGGAGCGAUUUGUCUGGUUUAUUCCGAUAACGAACGAGACUCUGGCCUACUAAAUAGUGGGCGGAUUCUUUCUGUCCGCAACACUUCUUAGAGGGACAAGCGGUGUUCAGCCGCACGAGAUUGAGCAAUAACAGGUCUGUGAUGCCCUUAGAUGUCCGGGGCUGCACGCGCGCUACACUGAAGGAAUCAGCGUGCUUUCUGACCUUGCCCGAAAGGGCUGGGUAACCCGAUGAAAAUCCUUCGUGAUUGGGAUAGGGACUUGCAAUUAUUUCCCUUGAACGAGGAAUUCCCAGUAAGUGUGGGUCAUAAGCUCGCGUUGAUUACGUCCCUGCCCUUUGUACACACCGCCCGUCGCUGCCCGGAACUGAGCCGUUUCGAGAAGAACAGGGACCGUCGUUGAAGGGCCUUAACGGGCUUUUCUCUGAUAGAAACUGUU
rnacentral:rRNA from 1 species